rnacentral:rRNA from 1 species
AUUGAACGCUGGCGGCAUGCCUUACACAUGCAAGUCGAACGGCAGCACGGGAGCAAUCCUGGUGGCGAGUGGCGAACGGGUGAGUAAAGUAUCGGAACGUGCCCAGUCGUGGGGGAUAACGUAGCGAAAGUUACGCUAAUACCGCAUACGAUCUAUGGAUGAAAGCGGGGGAUCGCAAGACCUCGCGCGAUUGGAGCGGCCGAUAUCAGAUUAGGUAGUUGGUGGGGUAAAGGCUCACCAAGCCGACGAUCUGUAGCUGGUCUGAGAGGACGGCCAGCCGCACUGGGACGGGGACACGGCCCAGACUCCUACGGGAGGCAGCAGUGGGGAAUUUUGGACAGGGGGCGCAAGCCUGAUCCAGCCAUGCCGCGUGCAGGAUGAAGGCCUUCGGGUUGUAAACUGCUUUUGUACGGAGCGAAAAGGUUUGACUUAAUACGUUGGACUCAUGACGGUACCGUAAGAAUAAGCACCGGCUAACUACGUGCCAGCCGCCGCAGUAA